rnacentral:rRNA from 1 species
UACGAACCGGACAAACGUUAUUCGGAAUUAUUGGGCUUAAAGGGUGCGUAGGCGGCGCGGUAAGUGAGGUGUGAAAGCCCACGGCUCAACCGUGGAACUGCGCUUCAUACUGCCGUGCUUGAGGGAGACAGAGGUAAGCGGAACUGAUGGUGGAGCGGUGAAAUGCGUUGAUAUCAUCAGGAACACCGGUGGCGAAAGCGGCUUACUGGGUCUCUUCUGACGCUGAGGCACGAAAGCUAGGGUAGCAAACGGG